CAAAACCAUUCUUUCUUGGGUUUAGAGAGUCCUGGCUCAUAGGCUCUUGGAUUUGAGAGAGGGAGGCAGGGAGCUAGGGAGAAAGAGAGAAUGGGACCAGGAGGGCCUGGACCUGGACCAGGUGGACCGGGUGGCGGCUUCGGGCCAGGAGGACCGGGUGGCGGCUUCGGACCAGGUGGACCGAGUGGCGGCUUCGGGCCAGGAGGACCGGGUGGCGGCUUCGGACCAGGUGGACCGGGUGGCGGCUUCGGACCAGGUGGACCGGGUUGGGGGGCAGGACCGGGUGGCGGUUUCGGAUUAGGGCUUGGUGGACCAUGCGGCUGCUUAUCUUCUUGCUUGAACUUCUUGUGUUGCUGCGGCUUGCUACGGGAAUGUUGUGGCCCGUUUGGGCCUCCACGUUGAUCGUGCCUGCUGAACCGUUUGAUGAGAUCGGGCGUGCAAUAAAUAUAGGACAUGGAUGCAUGUGCUUAUGCUUCAUAUCUUCCAUAUGUCUUGCAUAGACUUCUUUUAUUUCUUGUGCUCUUAAUAUAGAAGCUUUGGAUUUAGCAUGGAUUAUGAGCCGGCCCUCAGGCCUAAAUUCUAUUUAUUUUUAAUCGGGCUUCGGUCCGAGGCUAUGUAAAAUUUGAUAUUUUCUGUGCCCAAGUCCGACCUAUGAUCAGCUAUGGCAUGGAAUCAACCAGGCUGCGACA